rnacentral:rRNA from 1 species
CAGUAGCCGCGGUAAUACAGAGGGUGCAAGCGUUAAUCGGAUUUACUGGGCGUAAAGCGUGCGUAGGUGGCUGUUUAAGUCGGAUGUGAAAGCCCUGGGCUUAACCUGGGGGCUGCAUUUGAUACUGGUUGGCUUGAGUUCGGAAGAGGGUUGUGGAAUUCCCAGUGUAGAGGUGAAAUUCGUAGAUAUUGGGAAGAACACCGGUGGCGAAGGCGGCAACCUGGUCCGAUACUGACGCUGAGGCGCGAAAGCGUGGGAAGCAAACAGGAUUAGAUACCCCCGUAGUCCCUGUCUCUUAUAC